GAUGAACGCUGGCGGCGUGCUUAACACAUGCAAGUCGAACGUGAGAGGUAGCAAUAUCUUGAAAGUGGCGAACGGGUGAGUAACACGUAGGUAACCUGCCUCGGAGUGGGGGAUAACAGUUAGAAAUGACUGCUAAUACCGCAUGAAUCCAUGGAUUAGGGAUAAUCGAUGGAGAAAACUCUGGUGCUUCGAGAGGGGCCUGCGGCCGAUUAGCUAGUUGGUGGGGUAAAGGCCUACCAAGGCGACGAUCGGUAGCUGGUCUGAGAGGACGAUCAGCCACACGGGAACUGAGACACGGUCCCGACUCCUACGGGGGGCAGCAGUGAGGAAUAUUGGGCAAUGGGCGGAAGCCUGACCCAGCAACGCCGCGUGGAGGAAUGAAGGCCUUCGGGUUGUAAACUUCUUUGCAGGGGAAGAGGAAGGACGGUACCCUGCGAAUAAGUCACGGCUAACUACGUGCCAGCAGCCGCGGUAAU
rnacentral:rRNA from 1 species